GGUGGCAGAUUUUUUUAUAGGUUUAAAGAGGGGGCAGCCAAAAAAGUUUGAGAACUUAUUGUAGCUGCGAACAGCACUGCUGAUUUGAAUUUCUUCCCUGGGCAUAACUCAUUGACUCGUUCCUCUACCAGCAUGACACCCUUCCAGUACAUCCUGGGGUUUCAACCUCCCUUGUUCCUGUGGUCAGGCGAACCAUCUUUGGUCCCAGCUGUGGACAACUGGAUCCGACGUAUUGAGAGGGUGUGGGACAGUAUGCAUGUCCAUCUUCAGAGAGCCGUGAGAGCAGAGAAGCUCCAGGCCAACAGGCGAUGUUGCCCACAUCAUCCCUACUCACCAGAACAUUGGGUCUGGCCCUCAAUGAGAGGCCUCAAGCUGUGACUACCAAGCAGGAAGCUCAGCCCAAGGAUGCUAACCCUGGCAAUGAGGUCCAAGAGCCAACACCACCUUUGGAUGUUGACAUAACUCCUGCUUAUAAGGUGAAUGAGUUGCUGGAUUCAUGGAGAGGUCAUGGGUAGCUGUCCGCAAUAUCUUGGAUCCGUCUCACAUUGAGAAGUUUCAUUAAGCCAGACCCGAUCAACCAGCACCAUCACCAUAGGGACCUCCACGUUGAGCUUCAGGAGGUGCAGAGGGAGUCCUCACCUGAGUACUGACUGUGUGCCGCUCCCUCUGCUUCCUCUAAGAUCACUUCCUGUUCUGUUGCUAUAUGGCAUGAGACAUUCUGUUUGCACAUUUCAAAGUAUAGCCAGUUCUACUGCCUUACAGAGUGUUUUCCCUGUUAUCUUCCUGUCUAUCUAAUGCAUGAUUCUGCCUGGUUGCCUGAUUCUCAAUUACCUGGAUUAUCGCUUUUGUUUUGGUUGCCUGAUUAUACUGAUAUUUGUGUUUGGACCUUUUGCCUGCCUGCUCACCUUUGUCUUUUGGAUUAUUCCUGCAUAUGUUGAAGGACUGGACUGCUACUCUGGUUUUGACCCUCUGCCUGCCUUCACAGUUCUGUCAAAUCAGUCUGCUGUUAAUAACCUUCAUCAUAUGGAUUCCAACUCUGCCACAGCCUCGUCAUUACAGAAAUGCACAGAAUAUUUAUUUGCAAUGCAAACAGUUUUUUGGAUGAUUAUUUUUGUUAAUAUAAUAUUCUUAAUAAUAUAUAUAUUUUUUUUAUUUGCAGUCUUUUAUUUUUUUAAUUACAGUCUAAUUAGUUUUUCUCUCAAACACAGUAUGUUGAAUAAAAAAGACACAAAAAUAACUACAUAGAACCAUGACUGUAGCCAGCUAUGAGGUGACCGAGGUCCGGACCUUGGUAAUUUUUUUCAUGUUCAGAAAUAAAAUUUGUUCUCUGAAUGAA